GUCACGAGCUACUCGUUUAGCUCACGAGCUUCAAGCUUUUUUUCAGCCCUGGCCACCGCGGAAGACUCCUUUUCCCCUUUUCCAUCCUUCUCCCUCUUUUCUCCGCCCGUUUCACUCGCCGUGGCCGAUGGACGCACCACCGGAGACCACGGCCACUCCGAAAACGGCGGCGAUGAGAAGGCUCGGCCCUUGGCGCAGACCCGCGAGGCGGCACGGCGACGGCAGCAACAUUUUUCUCCAACCCGUUUCGGUUUGAGGUUACGGCAGAGGUUUCUUGGUUUCUUCAGACGUCUGCGGGGUAGACCAUGCUGCCCGCCGUGAGGGGAGACGCCGCCCCAGGCACGAGCACCGCCGCCGCCGAGAAGCUCGUCCAUGGCCAUGGGCCUGUCACCGUCGGAAAGUGCAAGAAGAAAGCUCCGAGGAAGAUCCACAAAGCCGAUAGGGAGAAACAUGAGCGCGACCUGCUCAAUGAUCUCUUCAGUGAACUUGGCGAAAUAGGUGCUUUUAGUAUUCCAUUCUCAGUCAUACACCAUGCCUGGUACUACAGGUCCUGCUACAAAAACUGAGACUUCAUCAGUGAAAAAAUGCAGGUGCUUCAACUUUCACAGGUCUUCCUAAUUCUAUCUGUUCGAAACCGUCAGUUGCAAAUUCAGGCCCAUCUUUAAAUGUCGACUGUUGCGAGAAGAUUAUACAAAAGUUGAAUAAAGGAAUAUAAAUAAUACUUAUGCAAGGGUAAUACUUUGGUAGUUCCACUGAAGUCAAGCAUCUGAGAGCAAGGCUGACAACUGCUGAGCAAGAUGAUCCUGAUAAAACAAGGGCAGCAGACUAAAUAGGUAAAGCUUGGUAUAACUUGCCACAUUUUGACUUAACUUGGGACCCAUGACUUCCAAUUCUGUCUACCAUUUGGCUUCUUGAUGUUGCAUGGGAACUCCUGGAGCAUGUACAGUUGUUCAUUGCAAAGUGGGAUUUAUACAUGCCUACGGUUGUCCAAUCAUGUUUGCUUACUGUAUGGUGUAUAUGCAACGAGGCCCCCUAUGAAAUUUGGAUUUAUAGUUUUUUGUUCCAAAAAGUGGAAACAUAAACUCCGCCGCUGUAAAUUACAAAUUAUUUUGUUAACUUCCUUUCCAGCACAUUUAGGGUGUAUGAUCUUGUGCAUAUUACAGGUAUAGUGUUGUGCACCAAUCUGGUUGAUGUUUACAUAAUCCAAGCAGAUUUACCAAUUAGAAGAGCCAUGUAUUAUUGUAGUUUUCUCUCUACAUCAAGUACACAUAAAUAUAAUGCCGUAGAAUGUAGUUUCUUUUAUUGUUCUGCAGAUCUUCCCCGUGAGGCGCUACAGAUCAGAUGGGCGCUGUCGUGAAGGCCGCGAAGGCGUGGCUGGCGGCAUGGGUUAGCCUGUGGGUGGUACCACCGUGCUGCUCUGGACGUGCAUUGUGGUGCUGCUCGUGGCGGCUUUCGGAGGGAGACAGAGUGCAGGACAUAGAGAAUUUGGGGGCUACUCGGGUUUGGAUCAGCAAGCCAUGUCCGUUUGGUUUGGCAAAGGCCUUUUAUCCUUUUUCUAUAAUGCCAUGAACGUCUCUGAAUUUUUACACUACUUCCAGCCGAUGCUUAAUAUUUUUUCCAACAUAUUUGUGACUGGAGCCCACACAUACAUAGUCAUGGAUAUGAUUUUGUGUUUUGGAUCUUGCUAUUUCACUAAUUUGGAACAUGUAUAUGCAGUUCUAGGCUUCUAGCUAGAUGGAUUAAUAGAUAUGUUGGACCUAUGCAUUUUAUAUUAUCCGCAUGGAUCUAUGUUUAUUAUUUGAUGCUCCUCCUUAUCCUGGGGAAGAACUUUUGCAAAGAGUUUGUCAUUUUUGGAGAUAUGGAUUUGUUGUCACUUCAGCAGUAUGCUUUUAGUGCUACAGAGUAUGCUGUGAAAUUAGAUUAGAUUGAUGAUUAGCAAUUAACUAUAGAACUGUUGGCAGCACCAGUUUAACAUAUGUUGAUUUCAGGCCCAUCUUUAUUUGCUUUCGAGUUAAACUAUGAAUUUGAAAACAAAAAAAUUAUACAUUGUUGAUGCUAAAUUUAUCAGUCCUUUUGUUUUGAUAAUCACCUCCUGCAUAUGUGUUCCUGGGUAGUUUUCGUACUGCCACAACUUUUGUUGUUUUGGCAGGAUAAUGUAUUUUCUUAUGGAAAACACGGAUGAGUAAUUACAUGAUACAUUAUUAAUAUUAAACUAUGUUGUUUCUCUGAAACUAACUUUGUCUUUCAGCUUUGGAAACUGGUGUUCUAACGUUAGUUCCAACAAGAGGGCCACUAUAACCACCAACUGGUUUGAGUUUCGUCGCCGUGCCAACAUUCACGAAGGAGACGUCUAUGCAUUUCGUUUCAGGAUCACUUCAAAGCGCCGCCUGGUUUUCAUCGUGCACCGCCUCUAGAUGCACCAUCGAAGACGCUGCAGCCCCUGUGUCAAUAUAAUCUAGCACUAAGUACUCUUAAUUAUGCUCUAUCCUGUGAUACCCUAUGGUUUGCUUUUGGCCCUGUCACAAGCUUUUCAAGACACUAAAUCUAUCUUGUUGCUUAUGUAAAGUGCACUAUUCUCAGUCAGAUGUUUCAUGUUCA